GACGAACGCUGGCGGCGUGCUUAACACAUGCAAGUCGAACGGAAAGGCCUUUUCGGAGGUACUCGAGUGGCGAACGGGUGAGUAACACGUGGGUGAUCUGCCCUGCACUCUGGGAUAAGCCUGGGAAACUGGGUCUAAUACCGGAUAGGACCGCACUUUAGUGUGUGUGGUGGAAAGUUUUUUCGGUGUAGGAUGAGCCCGCGGCCUAUCAGCUUGUUGGUGGGGUAAUGGCCUACCAAGGCGGCGACGGGUAGCCGGACUGAGAGGUUGGUCGGCCACAAUGGGACUGAGAUACGGCCCAGACUCCUACGGGAGGCAGCAGUGGGGAAUAUUGCACAAUGGGCGCAAGCCUGAUGCAGCGACGCCGCGUGGGGGAUGACGGCCUUCGGGUUGUAAACGCCUUUCGCCAGGGACGAAGCGUUUUGUGACGGUACCUGGAGAAGAAGCACCGGCUAACUACGUG
rnacentral:rRNA from 1 species